UUCAUAAUCAUAAGGCAUUAUGCUGCCCGCUUAAAAUGCUGUAGGAAUAUAUAGACAUGUAGGAAUAUAUAGACAUGUAGGUCAUACCACUUAGCUUCAUAAUCAUAAGGCAUUAUGCUGCCCGCUUAAAAUGCUGUAGGAAUAUAUAGACAUGUAGGAAUAUAUAGACAUGUAGGUCAUACCACUUAGCUUCAUAAUCAUAAGGCAUUAUGCUGCCCGCUUAAAAUGCUGUAGGAAUAUAGACAUGUAGGAAUAUAUAGACAUGUAGGUCAUACCACUUAGCUUCAUAAUCAUAAGGCAUUAUGCUGCCCGCUUAAAAUGCUGUAGGAAUAUAUAGACAUGUAGGUCAUACCACUUAGCUUCAUAAUCAUAAGGCAUUAUGCUGCCCGCUUAAAAUGCUGUAGGAAUAUAUAGACAUGUAGGUCAUACCACUUAGCUUCAUAAUCAUAAGGCAUUAUGCUGCCUGCUUAAAAUGCUGUAGGAAUAUAUAGACAUGUAGGUCAUACCACUUAGCUUCAUAAUCAUAAGGCAUUAUGCUGCCUGCUUAAAAUGCUGUAAGAAUAUAUAGACAUGUAGG